rnacentral:rRNA from 1 species
GACGAACGCUGGCGGCGUGCCUAAUACAUGCCAGUUGAGCGAUGAAGAUUGGUGCUUGCCCCAAUUUGAAGAGCAGCGAACGGGUGAGUAACGCGUGGGGAAUCUGCCUUUGAGCGGGGGACAACAUUUGGAAAUGAAUGCUAAUACCGCAUAACAACUUUAAACAUAAGUUUUAAGUUUGAAAGAUGCAAUUGCAUCACUCAAAGAUGAUCCCGCGUUGUAUUAGCUAGUUGGUGAGGUAAAGGCUCACCAAGGCGAUGAUACAUAGCCGACCUGAGAGGGUGAUCGGCCACAAUGGGACGGAGACACGGCCCAAACUCCUACGGGAGGCAGCAGGAGGGAAUCUUCGGCAAUGGGCGAAAGUCUGAACGAGCAACGCCGCGUGAGUGAAGAAGGGUUUCGGAUCGUAAAACUCUGUUGGUAGAGAAGAACGUUGGUGAGACUGGAAAGCUCAUCAAGUGACGGUAACUACACAGAAAGGGACGGCUAACUACGUG